UUUGGCUUCGACGGGGGUGUGAUGGGUUUGAUAAGCGGGCCGAGGGAAGCAUGUGACCUCGAUAAUCAGGUAUGCACUAAAUAUAAACGCAGAAGACAAUUUUGCAUUAGCAGCUUAAUAUAGCUUGCUCAUCAGUCCAGGAUGCCUACGUCUCGGGUAGCUGGUGUCAUUGAAGUAGGGAACGAAGUCUAGCAAAGCUUUGAGCUAGAGGGGUAUUUAUGAAGCUAGGGAAUUAGGAGUUUGUUUGUGAGCGAACUAAGGACCGAAAUUUUAGUCACGAAAGUAAGGAUACAAUGGUAAAACCUUGAAAUAAAAAGGUUUGGCCAUUGUAU
rnacentral:tmRNA from 1 species